UCUCUUUUAGUUAGUUUGUUCUUUCAUGUUUUGAGUACGUUUUGAUUAUUGUGUAAGGGAUGUUAAUCAAAAUUUUUAUUACGCUUCUGCAUUUGACAUUUUUAAUACAUAUAUUUCAUUUAAAUUUCUGGGGCCGCUACAGUUGGUAUCAGAGCCGCGUUCCUCAGACCCAUCCCUUACACAAUAGUGCUUAGAGAAAUAUUCACCGAUAAACCGUUACUCAAUCAUUCCUUAUGAAAUGCAGUUGCAGAGAGAUGAGGAGAGGAAGACCCCCAC
rnacentral:lncRNA from 1 species